UGCUUGCUUCAGCAGUAAUAUGCUAAAAUUGGAAUUAGACAAAGAGGAUAAGCAUGGCACCCACACUAGAAUGAUGUGCAAAUUUGUGAAAGCACUACAUGUUU
ensembl:snRNA U6 U6 spliceosomal RNA